rnacentral:rRNA from 1 species
CCUACGGGGGGCAGCAGUGGGGAAUAUUGCACAAUGGGCGAAAGCCUGAUGCAGCAACGCCGCGUGAGCGAUGAAGGCCUUCGGGUCGUAAAGCUCUGUCCUCAAGGAAGAUAAUGACGGUACUUGAGGAGGAAGCCCCGGCUAACUACGUGCCAGCAGCCGCGGUAAUACGUAGGGGGCUAGCGUUAUCCGGAAUUACUGGGCGUAAAGGGUGCGUAGGUGGUUUCUUAAGUCAGAGGUGAAAGGCUACGGCUCAACCGUAGUAAGCCUUUGAAACUGAGAAACUUGAGUGCAGGAGAGGAGAGUAGAAUUCCUAGUGUAGCGGUGAAAUGCGUAGAUAUUAGGAGGAAUACCAGUUGCGAAGGCGGCUCUCUGGACUGUAACUGACACUGAGGCACGAAAGCGUGGGGAGCAAACAGGAUUAGAUACCCGGGUAGUC